rnacentral:rRNA from 1 species
CGGGGGGCUGCAGCAGUGAGGAAUAUUGCACAAUGGGGGGAACCCUGAUGCAGCAACGCCGCGUGGAGGAUGACGCAUUUCGGUGUGUAAACUCCUUUUAUAUGUCAAGAAAAUGACGGUAGCAUAUGAAUAAGCGCCGGCUAACUCCGUGCCAGCAGCCGCGGUAAUACGGAGGGCGCAAGCGUUACUCGGAAUCACUGGGCGUAAAGGACGCGUAGGCGGGUUGAAAAGUCAGGUGUGAAAGCCUACAGCUUAACUGUAGAACUGCACUUGAAACUCUCAAUCUAGAGUAUGGGAGGAGCAGAUGGAAUUAGUGGUGUAGGGGUAAAAUCCGUAGAUAUCACUAGGAAUACCUAAAGCGAAGGCGAUCUGCUGGAACAUUACUGACGCUAAGGCAUGAGAGCGUGGGGAGCAAACAGGAUUAGAUACCCUCGUAGUC